rnacentral:rRNA from 1 species
GACGAACGCUGGCGGCGUGCUUAACACAUGCAAGUCGAACGGAAAGGCCUGCUUUCCCUUGUGGAUUGCGGGUACUCGAGUGGCGAACGGGUGAGUAACACGUGAGUGAUCUGCCCCAACUUGGGUAUAAGCCUGGGGAACUGGGUCUAAUUCCCGAUAGGACUGCAGGGUGGUGCCUGUGGUGGAAAACGAUUUUCUAGUGGUUGGGGAUGAGCUCGCGGCCUAUCAGCUUGUUGGUGGGGUAAUGGCCUACCAAGGCGGCGACGGGUAGCCGGCCUGAGAGGGUGGACGGCCACAUUGGGACUGAGAUACGGCCCAGACUCCUACGGGAGGCAGCAGUGGGGAAUAUUGCACAAUGGGCGGAAGCCUGAUGCAGCGACGCCGCGUGGGGGAUGACGGCCUUCGGGUUGUAAACUCCUUUCGACUGCGAGGAAGCCACCUGGUUGGAAGGGUGGUGACGGUAGUGGUAGAAGAAGCACCGGCUAACUACGUG